AUGCUUCUGCGCUUCACGUCAUCCCGGCAUAAUUCCGGUGGCCUUAAGCAAAUCCGAGGGAGCUGGCUCUGGUAUGGCCCUGGUCAUGCUACCUGGCGCCCACCUGUAUAUACAGGUCCUCGGGAAGAUAUGCCCGACGGUUGCCGCGGUUCAUC
rnacentral:sRNA from 1 species